CAAAUAUUUAUUGAAUGAAUGGAUCAAUCAACCAAUCAAACUAUGCAAAAUAAAGAGCAUAAGACUGUGAGAGAGGAGACGAAAGCCUGGCUGGGAGGGAAAGGCCAUAAGGAGUAAUAAGAUAGGAAAGUGUUAGGGUGUGUGGGAGAUCACAAAACAGUAUUUUCAGCGGUCUCCGUUGAGAGUUGACAUCUGCUUUUCCACCCCUCGAAUCUAGGUUUGGCCUUGCAACAGAUGGACCAACAGAACACUAGGAAACACGAUUCAAGUAGCAUCUUGAAAUGUGAUCCUGCAUUGGGGGUCCCCUCUCUUCACUGCACCCGGAACUUCCUCCAAGAAACAGUGGUCUGUGUGGGCACAAAUGAGCUACAGCACGUAUAAGUCAAUGGGAAGAAAGGAAAUGCUCACUAUGCUAGAAGUGACAGUAGAAACUUCCAUUGUGUGUGACUGGAGAGGCACAAAUGAAGGGCAUCUCCCAAAGUGAGUGAGAAGAGUUCAGACUGAAUAUCUCAAAACCUAAGCUCAUGUAAGGGAACAGGCAGGGCAGCCCACUGGAUUGCUGUCUCUCCUAUGAAAAGGAAUCACUGGAGCUGGUGGCACAUGGGUGAGCUGGAGAAAUUGCUCGUGGAAUUGAG
rnacentral:lncRNA from 1 species